rfam:Cricetulus griseus cell line CHO-K1, whole genome shotgun sequence.
GGGGAUAUAGCUUAGUUGGUAGAGUGCCUGCCUACAGUGCAGGAAACUCUGGCUUCAUUCCCA